UGCUGUUAGCUUCAGCAGCACACUGAACUUGGAAUGAUAAGAAGAUUAGCAUGGCCCCCGGGCAAGGAUGACACUCAAAUUCUCUUGAAGCAUUCCAAAAGGGG